AUGCCAUUUUACCGAGGGAUCUCCUCUGUCUCUGUUGGAAGUGGAGAGACGACAUUAUUCUGGGAGGACUUGUGUGGCCAAAUCUUCACAGAAAAAUACCCAAGGGCCUUCUCCUUCACCACUAAUGAAGACAUUUCUGUCCGCGAAUUUCUUCUGACCAGCUCUUUGAACGAUGUCUUCUGCUUACCAUUGUCUGCCCAAGCUCAUCAGGAAGUGGCCCAGCUCCAGGCCGUCGCGGCGGAUAGCUACAUCAACACCGCGACUGGUGAUGCAUGGUCCUAUAGCUGGGGCAACAAGUACACAUCCGCCAAGUUUUAUCAGUUCUGCUUCAGAGAGGUGGUGGUGCAUGAUUCUUACAAGUGGAUCUGGAAAUUGAGCUGUAGGAUGAAACUGAAGAUGGUUACAUGGUUAUUACUCUCGGAUCGGCACAACACCAGGAACAUGCUUCGCCGUAGAUACUUUGUGGUGGGUGAUGGGGGGGAGCGCUCCGACGACUGCAUCUUGUGCCGCAACCGGGAGGAAGAAACACUCGAACACCUGUUCUUCAUAUGCCCCUUCGCAGCUCAGUGUUGGAACACUCUGCAACUUUCCUGGGGCGCGGGAAAUAACCCGUUUGAAUGGCUCACCAGCGCUAAAGCGAACUGGGCCAGGCCCAUGUUCAUGGAGCUUUUUGUGGUUCCGGCUUGGUCAAUUUGGAAGGAAAGAAAUGGCCUCAUAUUCAAAAUAAUACCGUUCUCCAUGGAUCUUGGCUCAGGAAGUUCAAGGAAGACUUCGAGGGGGUUCAUAAUCAACCUUGUCAGGGGCCUGCCCUAG
rnacentral:rRNA from 1 species